rnacentral:misc_RNA from 1 species
UUGAAUUUUAAUGAAGAGUUUGGUUGUAGCUGGCCCAUUCAUUUGGGCAUGUGCACACCUUCCUCUUUCAUCCCACACACACCUGUGAACCUGUGAGACAGAGAUGGGGAAUUUACUUGCUGCUUUUUGGAAUACAAAGGCAACAGGUUAUUGGACCCCCCCUCUGUCUACUCAAUUAAUAUAAACUCAAUUUAUUUUAAAACGAAUGUAAUGGAUGUAACACAUCUCAUAC